rnacentral:rRNA from 1 species
CAACAGAGAAAGUCGUAACAAAGUAGGUGUAUUGGAAAAUGCACCUGGACCUA